GACGAACGCUGGCGGCGUGCUUAACACAUGCAAGUCGAACGGAAAGGCCCUGCUUUUGUGGGGUGCUCGUUUGGCGAACGGGUGAGUAACACGUGAGUAACCUGCCCUUGACUUUGGGAUAACUUCAGGAAACUGGGGCUAAUACCGGAUAGGAUCUCCUGCUGCAUGGUGGGGGUUGGAAAGUUUCGGCGGUUGGGGAUGGACUCGCUGCUUAUGAGCUUGCUUGUGGGGUAGUGGCUUACCAAGGCUGUGACGGGUAGCCGGCCUGGGAGGGUGACCGGCCACAUUGGGACUGAGAUACGGACCAGACGCCUACGGGAGGCAGCAGUGGGGAAUAUUGCACAAUGGGCGGAAGCCUGAUGCAGCAACGCCGCGUGCGGGAUGACGGCCUUCGGGUUGUAAACCGCUUUCGCCUGUGACGAAGCGUGAGUGACGGUAAUGGGUAAAGAAGCACCGGCUAACUACGUG
rnacentral:rRNA from 1 species